AUAAUUUAUAAAUAUUCAAUAAUAAAUGUUUUAUAGUAUAAAAUAUGAUUAUUUUAAUUAUCAUUCUUCAAAGGUAUUUUCAAUGCAAUCACGGUCCAUUCUCCACAAUCAACAAGGAAAGAUGUUUAAAAUAGGUAGGAGUCGAGCUUGCAUAUAUUUAGAAUAAUAACAUUGUAAUAGGCCAAUUUUGGCCUGGCUAAAAAUCAAAUAAAAUUAACAACCCAAUUGACCCAAUGCAAUACCCAAUAACCAAAUCAACCCAAAACUAAAAACAAAAAGCCCUAGAACCUUCAACCGCUGCUCUCCCACAUACGCGCCUCCAGCCCCCUCCAUGUCACCCCACGAACGGCUUCUUCGGUAUCACGGUUUUACCUGCAAAAUAGGGCCAUAAACAGCAAGAAAGAAGCACACUAUAGAGGAGAGAAUAACAGAAAAGAAAUUGAAUAACGGGGGGGGGGGGCAGAGAAAAAAGAGAGGGUUUUUAUUUGUUUUAUUUGUUUUUUCUUUUGGGUGGAUUCGGCGAUAUAUAAGGCCGAUUCUGAAUCUGUAUGGGGUUUUUUUUUUUGGAGGCAGAUUGAAACAAAAAAGAGAGAAAGAAGUCAGUGUAAAACGAAGUAUAAAAAGGGAAAAUAAAAAUACAGCAGUUUGAUUUGGAAGGUGAUUUUCUUCAUUUUUUUUAUUGCUUUCUCUGUUAUUUUUUCGUUUUUUUUUUUGGGUGUGCAAAACAGAAAUAAGGAGGAGAAGAGAAGGUACUUACCAGUGGUGGCGCGCCGUCGAUGCCCUUGCUGCGCUGCGUCCGAAUCGGAGUUGAAAAGGGGAGGAUUUUGGUGAGGAGCAGAAGAGAAGAAAGCAGUCCUUGCGGCUGCUGUUGCUGAAAAUGGAAUAGGGAUUUUAAUUAGGAUUUGAAAUGGGUUUUAAGCAUUGAUGGGUUAUUUGCGUUUUAAUCCUUUCAUGUUUUCCAUCAUUUCAAAACUAUUUUUUCUUUUGUUUUCAAAUUUUUCCAUGACAUAUUAAAUCUGCUUUAUUUUAACCCAAUGUUGUACAGUGUUUAAAAAGGGUGGGAUUAGUUUCCCUUUUAGCCCUUCAUGUUACGUGCAUUUUGCAAAUUUGUCCUUUGUUUUAUUUUGUUUUCGUUUUUUUUUUCAAUUUUGUUUUGAUUUUAACUUUAUCCUUUGUAUUUGUCUUACUAAUUAAGUUUAAUAUUUGUUUGUUAUUAUAAUAAUAAUUAUUAUUAUUACUGUUAUUAUU
rnacentral:lncRNA from 1 species